UACGAAGGUGGCGAGCGUUGUUCGGAAUCACUGGGCUUAAAGCGCGCGCAGGCGGAGUGGACAGUGUCCUGUGAAAUCCCCCGGCUUAACCGGGGAAUUGCGGGGCAUACUACCACUCUUGAGGCAAGUAGGGGUGCAUGGAACUCUUGGUGGAGCGGUGGAAUGCGUAGAUAUCAAGAGGAACGCCGAUGGUGAAAACAGUGCACUGGGCUUGUUCUGACGCUGAGGCGCGAAAGCGUGGGGAGCGAAAGGGAUUAGAUACCCCCGUA
rnacentral:rRNA from 1 species